CGAAGCCACAAAAACCCUAACACUAUAUCCCUUCAUCGUAAACCCUACACUUUCUCCUUUUACCUCUCACUCUUCUCCGCAGCUUCACAACCCCUUCAAAUCACUGAAAAUGCCGUUCAAGAGGUUCGUUGAAAUCGGAAGAGUUGCGCUCGUUAACUACGGG